UACGGGGGGGGCAAGCGUUGUUCGGAAUUACUGGGCGUAAAGGGCUCGUAGGUGGCCAACUAAGUCAGACGUGAAAUCCCUCGGCUUAACCGGGGAACUGCGUCUGAUACUGGAUGGCUUGAGUUCGGGAGAGGGAUGCGGAAUUCCAGGUGUAGCGGUGAAAUGCGUAGAUAUCAUUUGGAACGCCAAUGGUGAAAACAGGUAGCUGGGGGGGUGCUGACACUGAGACACGAAAGCCAGGGGAGCAAACGGG
rnacentral:rRNA from 1 species